ACUCCUACGGGAGGCAGCAGUGGGGAAUAUUGCACAAUGGGCGCAAGCCUGAUGCAGCCAUGCCGCGUGUGUGAAGAAGGCCUUCGGGUUGUAAAGCACUUUCAGUUGUGAGGAAAGGUUAGGUCCUAAUAAUCGGGCUAGCUGUGACGUUAGCAACAGAAGAAGCACCGGCUAACUCCGUGCCAGCAGCCGCGGUAAUACGGAGGGUGCGAGCGUUAAUCGGAAUUACUGGGCGUAAAGCGCGUGUAGGUGGCUUGUUAAGCCAGAUGUGAAAGCCCGCUAGCUGAAC
rnacentral:rRNA from 1 species